UACGGGGGGGGCAAGCGUUGUUCGGAAUUACUGGGCGUAAAGGGCUCGUAGGCGGCUAACUAAGUCAUACGUGAAAUCCCCCGGCUUAACCGGGGAACUGCGUCUGAUACUGGAUGGCUUGAGUUCGGGAGAGGGAUGCGGAAUUCCAGGUGUAGCGGUGAAAUGCGUAGAUAUCUGGAGGAACACCGGUGGCGAAGGCGGCAUCCUGGACCGAUACUGACGCUGAGGAGCGAAAGCCAGGGGAGCGAACGGG
rnacentral:rRNA from 1 species